AGUGAACGCUGGCGGUAGGCCUAACACAUGCAAGUCGAACGGCAGCACAGUAAGAGCUUGCUCUUACGGGUGGCGAGUGGCGGACGGGUGAGGAAUACAUCGGAAUCUACUUUUUCGUGGGGGAUAACGUAGGGAAACUUACGCUAAUACCGCAUACGACCUACGGGUGAAAGCAGGGGAUCUUCGGACCUUGCGCGAUUGAAUGAGCCGAUGUCGGAUUAGCUAGUUGGCGGGGUAAAGGCCCACCAAGGCGACGAUCCGUAGCUGGUCUGAGAGGAUGAUCAGCCACACUGGAACUGAGACACGGUACAGACUCCUACGGGAGGCAGCAGUGGGGAAUAUUGGACAAUGGGCGCAAGCCUGAUCCAGCCAUACCGCGUGGGUGAAGAAGGACUUCGGGUUUUAAAGCCCUUUUGUUGGGAAAGAAAAGCAGCAGGUUAAUACCCCGCUGUUCUGACGGUACCCAAAGAAUAAGCACCGGCUAACUUCGUG
rnacentral:rRNA from 1 species